rnacentral:rRNA from 1 species
GACGAACGCUGGCGGCGUGCCUAAUACAUGCAAGUAGAACGCUGAAGCUUGGUGCUUGCACCGAGCGGAUGAGUUGCGAACGGGUGAGUAACGCGUAGGUAACCUGCCUGGUAGCGGGGGAUAACUAUUGGAAACGAUAGCUAAUACCGCAUAAUAGUAGAUGUUGCAUGACAUUUGCUUAAAAGGUGCAAUUGCAUCACUACCAGAUGGACCUGCGUUGUAUUAGCUAGUUGGUGAGGUAACGGCUCACCAAGGCAACGAUACAUAGCCGACCUGAGAGGGUGAUCGGCCAAACUGGGACUGAGACACGGCCCAGACUCCUACGGGAGGCAGCAGUAGGGAAUCUUCGGCAAUGGACGGAAGUCUGACCGAGCAACGCCGCGGGAGGGAAGAAGGUUUUCGGAUCGUAAAGCUCUGUUGUAAGAGAAGAACGAGUGUGAGAGUGGAAAGUUCACACUGUGACGGUAUCUUACCAGAAAGGGACGGCUAACUACGUG